rnacentral:rRNA from 1 species
AUUGAACGCUGGCGGCAGGCCUAACACAUGCAAGUCGAACGAGUGGCGGACGGGUGAGUAAUGUCUGGGAAACUGCCCGAUGGAGGGGGAUAACUACUGGAAACGGUAGCUAAUACCGCAUACCAUCGGAUGUGCCCAGAUGGGAUUAGCUAGUAGGUGGGGUAAAGGCUCACCUAGGCGACGAUCCCUACCUGGUCUGAGAGGAUGACCAGCCAAAAUGGAACUGGGACACGGUCCAGAAUCCGACGGGAGGGCGCAGUGGGGAAGAUUUCAAAAUGGGCGCAAGCAUGAUGCAGCCAUGCCGGGGGUAUGAAGAAGGCCUUCGGGUUGUAAAGGACUUUCAGCGGGGAGGCGUUACCCGCAGAAGAAGCACCCGCUAACUCCGUGCCAGCCGCCGCGGUAAUAUC